AUGGGCGACGGCGUGAACGACGCGCCGGCGCUGAAGAAGGCCCACAUUGGCAUCGCGGUGUCGGACGCGACGGACGCCGCCCGGGCCGCCACCGACAUCGUGCUGACGGAGCCCGGCCUCGGCGUCAUCGUCUGCGCCGUCCUCACCAGCUGCGCCAUCUUCCAGCGCAUGAAGAACUACACGAUUUACGCCGUGUGCAUCACCAUACGGAUAGUUGUUGGGUUUGUUCUUCUGGUGUCGAUAUGGGAGUACGACUUUCCGCCAUUCAUGGUGCUCAUCAUAGCCAUACUCAACGAUGGGACGAUCAUGGCGAUAUCCAAGGACCGGGUGACGCCGUCGCGGAGCCCGUACAGUUGGAAGCUGAACGAGAUAUUCGCCACCGGGGUCGUCAUCGGCGCCUACCUCGCGCUGGCCACGGUGCUCUUCUACUGGGCAGUCACCAGAACCACAUUCUUUGAGGUUAGCACAUCCAAGGCUGAACCGAUGAACAUCUCUGUUGAUCUGUACUUCGGGAGAAAGAGAGAAAUUUUGCUUUCAGACUGA
rnacentral:rRNA from 1 species